AAUUCGAAACGGUAGCAGGAUGUGCUUGCACAUCGCUGACGAGUGGCGGACGGGUGAGUAAUGCUUGGGAACUUGCCUUUGUGAGGGGGAUAACAGUUGGAAACGACUGCUAAUACCGCAUAAUGUCUACGGCCAAAGGAGGGCUUAGGCUCUCGCGCAAAGAGAGGCCCAAGUGAGAUUAAAUAGNUGGUGGGGUAAUGGCCUACCAAGUCNACGAUCCAUAACUGGUUUUAAAGGAUGAUCAACCACACUGGGACUGAAACACGGACCAAACUCCUAC
rnacentral:rRNA from 1 species